rnacentral:lncRNA from 1 species
UUAUAAAUAAAAAUUUUGGAGUUAUGCGUGAAUACUUUUUGUAACGUAAAAACAAAAUAAAUUCAUUCAUACUGUAGCACAAUAAACUCUUAAAUUUACAAUAUCAAGUGGGCCCACAAUAACUAGAAUUAAAGAAGCUGUGAACCUAUAGUUUGAAAGACGCAAUCCAAUGGAAAUCCCCGAUGGAACCAGUUAUCUAUAGACUACUCUGAUCCUGAAAUGGGUGGAAAGAAGGGUGGUGAGAUUAUAAAAUCCCAGUGAGUAAACAAACACCAUUUAAAUCAGCUAAAGCCGAGUAAAAGGAGACAAUUAAAAUAUCUCAUCAUUUUAAGUAUUUCACAAUUUGAAAAUUCAUCCCAACCCAUGCAAACGGUUGUAUUUUAUUUAAUUUCUCAUUAGGGCUUAUGACUUUCAUAAAUAGUUGGCUCAUGCCACCAAAUAUACUUGAUGACACCUUGAUCAGAGGCGUACACUAGAGCCCGUCAAGGCUGUUAAAAUUUUGUAUACUUGUAAAACAUAUUUUUAGUUUGAAAAACACAACCAUUCCUUGGUGUUAGCGGAGUUCAUCAUCACGAGGUGGUUUGGUGUGAUGUGAACUCUGUCCAUACCUCAGGAGAUACCCUAUGCGCUUCUCUGACCGAGGUACAUAUAUAUAUAUCCGUAUUCCGUGCCCCUCUAAUAGGCUAGUCCACAGAAUCCGCCUACUACAGCAAGCUAAACCCACCAUACAAUAAAAUUUUGACAGCAUGACAAGGCUCAUAUUUUACUACCCAGCCUGCAAGAGUAAAAUAAAAUAAUUAAUACAAUUCAUAAAACACAGCCCAACCAGUCAUGCCAACACAAUAACAAUAUAACAUAAGCCAUCAAUUUCUAAUCAUAAAUUUCCAACAUGCCAGUGGUCUCCAAUUACUCUAUUUUCAAAAUCGUUAUUUCAUUUCAAGACAAUUUAUAAAAUCUUUUCAUUUAAACACAUUUUUGUUUGCAAAACCAAAACUUAGCCAUUUAAUUCAUUUUCAUAAAAUUUCACCAAAAUUGAGUUAAAACAUACUUUAGAUAAUUAAAAUGAUGAUAAGGUUACUGACAUUGUCUAGAGUGGGCAUUUUCGAAAUACUCAGACUAUUGGUCAUCGGAUGCAAUUCCUUUGCCUUUAUCGAAGGACUCACCACCUUGACACAAUACAAAAUCGAGAAAUUCACCACAUUGGUACUAAAUUGAAAUUAAACUAAUUUAGACUACUAAUGCAAGAUAUGGAAUGCAAAAGGUCUAAAUUUAGCCUAAACAUCGUAUUGAUCUAUUUCGGUCUUUUACCCGAUAAAUUGAAAUACGCAUCCAAUUUAGCUCCAAUUGAUCCCAUUUCUUUUUCUAAUGCUUCAAAUCACCAAUGUCUAGUUAAAUAACUGAAAAAUCAGCAAAGCGACAUUCAUAUUCCUUCUUGGAAAAAUUUGGCCAAAAUGGUGCAUCAUUGUCACAAUUUUUCCUACUUGAUUUUCUUUCCAUAAAUCAUUAAUUUCCAUAUCAAAAACCAUGAUUUCAUAAUCAAAUAACCUAAAAUAACAUCACAUUCUUCCUCACCAUUGACUUGAAAAUUCAGCUAAGGCUAGGUAAUGGGAAAAAUGAAUGUUUUUCUACAUAUUUUGUUUACUAACAUGCUAAACUAAUACUAAACACCAACAUAUAUCAAAAUCAAAUCAAUCCAACAAUUUUCUCUCUCUAGACCCAUAUGACUAGCCAUGAAAACAUGCAAUUUAAUUAUGGAAAAUAAGGAGAAAUGCUUGGGAAUAACUAAACUCAAGCUUUAUAGAAAAAAUCUUACCUUUUUCACUUAAUUUCCUUGAAAAUUCACACUUUUUCUUUGAUUUUCUCUCUCUAGGGUUUGGUUUUUAUUUUCUCUCUCUUCUUGCUGGUUUGGCCGACCAUGGGGUGGAAG